rnacentral:rRNA from 1 species
GAAACUGCGUAGUAUAGGGAUACAUAGAAUAGUGCUAAUACCGCAUAAGCGCACAGCUUCGCAUGAAGCGGUGUGAAAAACUCUGGUGGUAUACGAUGGUUCCGCGUCUGAUUAGCUAGUUGGUGGGGUAAUGGCCUACCAAGGCAACGAUCAGUAGCCGGCCUGAGAGGGUGAACGGCCACAUUGGGACUGAGACACGGCCCAAACUCCUACGGGAGGCAGCAG